AGAUGAUCAGGUUGAUAGGUCUGAGGUGGAAGUGUGGCGACACAUGGAGCUGACAGAUACUAAUCGAUCGAGGACUUAACCAAAUU
rnacentral:rRNA from 2 species